AGCAGUAGCCGCGGGAAUACGUAGGGUGCAAGCGUUAAUCGGAAUUACUGGGCGUAAAGCGUGCGCAGGCGGUUCGUUAAGACAGAUGUGAAAUCCCCGGGCUUAACCUGGGAACUGCAUUUGUGACUGGCGGGCUGGAGUAUGGCAGAGGGGGGGUAGAAUUCCACGUGUAGCAGUGAAAUGCGUAGAGAUGUGGAGGAAUACCGAUGGCGAAGGCAGCCCCCUGGGCCAAUACUGACGCUCAUGCACGAAAGCGUGGGGAGCAAACAGGAUUAGAUACCCCGGUAGUCCCUGUCUCUUAUA
rnacentral:rRNA from 1 species